rnacentral:lncRNA from 1 species
ACAAGGCAGUGUUUAAUAAAAAUGGCCAAAGGCCCAUAAGAAAUGCAACAAGUAAAGAAACAAGUGGAUAAGGCUUAAUCUGACAUGGAUCUGAGUCAGCAUGCAAUGCCACAUCAAUAAAUGAAUGAAAACAUGGAAUUUGAGGAUAAUCAUGUUAAAAGUGAAACUCAGAUUCAAACACACGUGCGUAUUCAAACUUGGCUUCCUCUUCUUCGUUCCUCCCUCCGCCGUGUCGGAGGUUGUCCUCGGCGGUGGAGGCUCUCUAAAGUCUAAAUUGAAAUCACCAUCCGAACUGAAAUCUCAUCUUGAAACCAAAUCCUACCACAAAAUCAUCUAAUUCUAACAGACAAGUCCGAAUUGAAGGCUACAACCGAAGAACCCUAGCUCGAAGAAUCAAAAUUAAAUGGCGUUUGUUAGGAAUCAAAGCCCCCGGGGUUAGGGCUUUGAUUCCCCUGACCUCAAAUCACAUCGUAGUAACAAGAACCAAAGCAAAUAGUGGAGGAAAUGAAAACUUACUGGUGGAGUAAGCUUCGGUCGUUACCGGAAUUUCAGGUAAGUAUUCUGAUUCGUCUCUUCACUUCCACCAUUAAACUCUCUUCUCCUUCUUCUUCUUGUAACUUCUCUGAUAUUUUCAAUCAAUACCUCUAAAUAGUGAAUCCGUACGUGAGAGAGUAUAAGAGAUGAUAAAUUUGAGAAAUGGUGAAAUGGCGAAUAUGAGAAAUUUGUGGAGAAUGAUGUGUCGUUUUGUGUUUCUGGGAACUGAAUGAUAUAUAUAGAGUUUCGACUUCUAUUUUGAAAUGCAAUGGAAAUUCAUAUGAAAUUCACUUUCGGUUAGAAAUUCAGAUGUUAGUUAAAGCGGAAUUUAAAUGAAAUUCAAGUGAAAUGCAAGUGAAAUGUUUUCUGUUGAUUAGUUUGAAAUGUGUUAACGAAAUUCAAAUGGAAUGAAAGUGAAAUGUAAUUUCUAUUUGUCCUGAUAUUUGUUUUGUAUAAUUGAAAUGUUGAUGAAAUUCUGAAAUGCAAUGUUGUUCAAAAUGCAGGGAUUUGGUUUGUUAUGCAAUCUGAAAUGCAAAUGAAAUUAAAAUGCAGGUUUGAUUGGAUUUCAAUGUUGAACUAAGUUUCUCUGGUUUAUGCAAGUCAUGGCUGCUAAAAUGCAGGGCUGCUUGGCCGAGCUCGAAUUUGCUUGCUUGAGUUUGGAUAUGUUGAAGGGUUGCUAGCUAGAGGUUGGAUCUAUUUGGACCAAUUAUACAAGACUCCUAUUUGGACCUUUCAUGGAGCUUGUUUGGUUAUGGAUUUGUUUGGAAAGUCAUGGAAUUUUGCAUUUGGUUGUAAUGUUAUGCAUAGAAAUGUUGAUGUUUAGCAAUUUGAAUUUGAUUGAUAUUGGAAGUAUGUAUGUAAUUGGAUUGAAUGGUUAUAAUGAAUGUUAUGAAAUAAAAUUUGAAUUGAAAUUGAAUGUUGAAAUGUAAAGCGUCAAUUGGAUUGAAUUAAUGUAUUUGGUAUAAUGACCCUUUAAUUAAUGGGAUCGUGUAAUGUAAUGUAUGGAAUAUGUAUGUAUGUAAUUGACAUGGUCUAUGGUUACGUGUAAAAUGGAAUUUAUGUUUGAAUGUGGAAUUGUGUAACAUGAUGAAUUUGGAGUUAUGGUUUAAUGAACUUGAAUGGUUAAAAAAU